rnacentral:rRNA from 1 species
GACGAACGCUGGCGGCGUGCCUAAUACAUGCAAGUCGAGCGAGACUCUUCGGAGUCUAGCGGCGGACGGGUGAGUAACACGUGGGCAACCUGCCUGUAAGACUGGGAUAACACCGGGAAACCGGUGCUAAUACCGGAUAAUCCUUUUCCUCUCAUGAGGAAAAGCUGAAAGUCGGUUUCGGCUGACACUUACAGAUGGGCCCGCGGCGCAUUAGCUAGUUGGUGAGGUAACGGCUCACCAAGGCGACGAGGCGUAGCCGACCUGAGAGGGUGAUCGGCCACACUGGGACUGAGACACGGCCCAGACUCCUACGGGAGGCAGCAGUAGGGAAUCUUCCACAAUGGACGAAAGUCUGAUGGAGCAACGCCGCGUGAGCGAUGAAGGCCUUCGGGUCGUAAAGCUCUGUUGUUAGGGAAGAACAAGUACCGGAGUAACUGCCGGUACCUUGACGGUACCUAACCAGAAAGCCACGGCUAACUACGUGCCAGCAGCCGCAGUAACAC